GUAUAUUAAAAGUUAAAAACUUUUUACAAAACUGUCAUAACUAAAAAAAAUUAAAUUUUUGAUGGUAACUAUAAAACUACUUCUAGAUUGCAAUUUGGAAUUGUAGGUAUUCAAAUAUUAAACUUAUUGCUAAAAACUGUAAUGAAUUCAAAUGUUAACUGUAGUAACAUAUUAGCUAGGUACUGCUUUUACAGGUUUUCAGUUUUAUAAUGAAUAUUAUAAAAUAAUAUAAAUAAGUUAUCUAUACUAGUUUCUAUAAAUAAGUUAGAUUAGUAUUGUUUUUUUUUUUUUUUUAGAUUCUGAGUUUAGUGAAGACUAUUGGUUUUACCAUGAUAUUUACUUAUUUUUUAUAUUAACACUACCUAAAAGCUUAUUUCGAUUAUAAAAUAUAGCCCUUUUUUUAAAAGGAAAUGUUCUCUGGGUGAUACUUUAGAAAGGUCAUUUUUUGAAAUUCUUAUUAAUAUUCAUGAUGAGGAAGACCUGGUUCUUUAGGUUAAAAAAUAUUGAAAGAUUAAAAUUAAGCUUGUCAUUGGCAAUCUUUUUUAUUUAUUUUUUUUGUUAUUAAGUUUUUAUUAUUUUAAUCUUCUUUAAACAUUCAUUAUUGUCAUGGAAAUACGCAUUUUUUUAAUUAUUUUAUCAUAAUUACAAAAAUGUGUAUUUCAUUAUUACAUUAUUUUAUCAUAAUAUGACAUACAUAUUAUAUUGUUAACAAAGAAACCCUAUCAACCGAACUGUUCCGAAUCGUUUUUUUUGUUAUCAAUGGUUUAUCGUUGCAUAUAGAUACCCAUUAAAUUUCUGUCUAUAUUCUACUUUCCCAACUUCCAAACUACAACAGUGGCUGCAUCCACAUGUAUUUUUUUUUUUUAGUUUUAUAAACUAAAUUUGACCCAGGAGUCCACUCUAGAUAUCAGUAGGGCCCAAUUUUUUUUUAUUACAAAAAAAUAAACAAUAAAAAUAAAAUAUAUUUUGAGUAUUUUUGGCAUAUAUGUAUAUAUUUUUAUUACAUAUAAAUAUUAAACCAAUCAAUCUUUAUGACUUAUGAAUAUGGGUUUUUUAAAAUGUGCUACAUUUAAGAAAUAUUGGUUAUAAUUUACUUUUUAGUUUUUGGACAUGUAUGUAUGUAUAAUGUGUAUCGUAAUUUAUUGUUUAUGUAUAAUUUUUUUUACAAUUAAUCGAUU